AUGCUACUGCCACCUAUCAAGCAGGCUCAUCAAAAAAUCUGCAAGGGAAUGCAAACUUUGUGGCUGGACUCCCCAGGCCUUCCGAUUGACAUUUAUGAGGACUAUUCCCUCCUCAACCUGUUCCCUGUUGUCAUACAAAAACAAGAGCGUGAGUCCCACUCUGUCACUCAGGAUGUUGUGCAGUGGCAUCAUCCUGACACACUGCACCCUCAGCAUCCCUGACUCAAGCAGUCCUCCUGCCUCAGCCUCCCAAUUAGCUGGGACUACAGAUUCAAGAAAAAAGUGUUUUAGAUGAAUGGCAUGACCCUCAAAACAAGAAGAUGUGCUGCUUAAUUAAUUGUCUGCAAAACAGUGGAAAAAUAGAUGAAAUAAAAGAUGGAAAGCCU
rnacentral:lncRNA from 13 species